UACAGAGGGUGCGAGCGUUGUCCGGAAUCACUGGGCGUAAAGGGCGCGUAGGUGGCGACCCAAGUCGAUGGUGAAAGCUCGCCGCUCAACGGCGAGUCGGCCACUGAUACUGGGUUGCUGGAGCACUGUAGAGGCAGAUGGAAUUCCGGGUGUAGCGGUGGAAUGCGUAGAGAUCCGGAAGAACACCGGUGGCGAAAGCGGUCCACUGGGUCCUUUCUGACGCUGAGGGACGGAAAGCUAGGGGAGCGAACGGG
rnacentral:rRNA from 1 species